UACGUAGGCAGCAAGCGUUGUUCGGAGUUACUGGGCGUAAAGGGUGUGUAGGCGGCCUUCUAAGUUCGGUGUGAAAUCUCCCGGCUUAACCGGGAGGGUGCGCCGGAAACUGGCAGGCUAGAGUGUGGGAGGGGAAAGUGGAAUUCCUGGUGUAGCGGUGAAAUGCGUAGAUAUCAGGAGGAACACCUGUGGUGUAGACGGCUUUCUGGACCAUAACUGACGCUGAGACACGAAAGCGUGGGUAGCAAACAGG
rnacentral:rRNA from 1 species